GUGCCAGCCGCCGCGGUAAUACCGGCAGCCCGAGUGAUGGCCGAUCUUAUUGGGCCUAAAGCGUCCGUAGCUGGCCGCGCAAGUCCAUCGGGAAAUCCACCCGCCCAACGGGUGGCCGUCCGGUGGAAACUGCACGGCUUGGGACCGGAAGGCGCGACGGGUACGUCCAGGGUAGGAGUGAAAUCCUGUAAUCCCGUCCGGACCACCGAUGGCGAAAGCACUUCGAGAAAACGGAUCCGACAGUGAGGGACGAAAGCUAAGAUCGCGAACCGGAUUAGAUACCCCUGUAGUCC
rnacentral:rRNA from 1 species